rnacentral:rRNA from 1 species
UGAGGAAUAUUGGUCAAUGGACGGAAGUCUGAACCAGCCAAGUAGCGUGCAGGAUGACGGCCCUAUGGGUUGUAAACUGCUUUUGUAUGGGGAUAAAGUUAGGGACGUGUCCCUAUUUGCAGGUACCAUACGAAUAAGGACCGGCUAAUUCCGUGCCAGCAGCCGCGGUAAUACGGAAGGUUCAGGCGUUAUCCGGAUUUAUUGAGUUUAAAGGGAGCGUAGGCUGGAGAUUAAGUGUGUUGUGAAAUGUAGACGCUCAACGUCUGAAUUGCAGCGCAUACUGGUUUCCUUGAGUACGCACAACGUUGGCGGAAUUCGUCGUGUAGCGGUGAAAUGCUUAGAUAUGACGAAGAACUCCGAUUGCGAAGGCAGCUGACGGGAGCGCAACUGACGCUUAAGCUCGAAGGUGCGGGUAUCAAACAGGAUUAGAUACCCUGGUAGUCCGCACAGUAAACGAUGGAUGCCCGCUGUUGGUACCUGGUAUCAGCGGCUAAGCGAAAGCAUUAAGCAUNNACCUGGGGAGUACGCCGGCNCGGU